UGGUCCGAAGGUCCGUUUGUCCGACUUUUCAAAAAGGAGGCGCAUUAGGCCGACGGUUCAAUAUGCCGAAUAGGCCAAGGCGCAAUUCCACAUGUGUGAUUAUGAAACCAAAAAUAAAAGACGAUGUAGGCAGUGCAUCGUCUUUUAAGUUCCAGCAGUGCACUUCACCAAGCCAGACUGUUGCUGUGGGCUUCGGUCACAAGAGGUGAAUUUAUGAAGCGCACGUCAUAGGCCUACAAGGACUAAUAGGUACUUUUCCCGUAAAGAAGUCAAACGGCGUCGAGGCGCCGAGCAGCAAUCACGGCGAUGCGUGUCUCGCACGUAGUUGCGUCGAAAACUGCAAGCUAACAGCUGACCCAUGAAUGUCCGGUGAAAGCAACUUUUCCCUCUCAAUUUUCCCUCGUCUUGCACCCUUGGCAAGCGGAGCGAGGUAUGUUGGUUUAUUGUAAGCCUUUAUUGUGAUUAUGUUUAAUUUUGGUGUGCUUAACUAUGAUUAUUGCAGUUAUCCCUUGAUGACCUACUUACGCCACUGUCAACUUGCCAUAUUUUAUGACAAUGAAAAGCAAUUGACGUUGCCCUCGUUAUUUAGGUAACUUCCAAAAUUACUUUGAGCUGGCGUUAAAUUAAACUUGGACAGCAUAACUCAGUGUUUCAGCGGCGCUACUGCAGUCUGACUUUUGGCCAAGAUCCCUGUGCUCUCCUCUGACAGUGUCCUGUUGCUGUCAGAUUACAAAAAGCUCUGCAAGGUCCGAACCGAAGCUUGGGCGCGCAUCGUAUGAUUAUAGACAAAAGAGGUUUGUAUAAUAGCGAAAUAGUGUGUAAUUAAAGUGAGAAAUAGGUGUGAGAACGUGUGAAGAGGGCCAGAUGCGUUAAUGCGUGACUGCGUGUUCACACCAAAAGUUUAGCGAAUCUUAUGCUCAUGUACUCGAGUGUCCCGAACCGCAAAAAACAUUUGCGUUUUUUACAUUACCAAAUAUUCGAGGAGGAUGAGCUUACCUCUUGUGAAAGCCAUCGUUUCUUUCCACCAAUUAAUUCUCAACCAUGGCCGAGAUAACCAUUGUAUGGUUUAUCAACCAUUGUUCGUAGUAGAGUACAAUUGAUAGCUGGAAUAAAGUAUCAAAAACAAAUUUUCAAAAUUCAAUACAAUGUCUUAAAGCUCCAGGAGUCCGCAAACGUCUGCAAUCAAUCUGGACUUCAGGAAGUGAGCGUCAAGUGAAGUUUGUGGCAAACUUUAAAUAUUUAAACUUGAGCGAAUGACGAAUUUGAAUCGUUCGUGUGAGUGGAUUCACGCAAAUCUGCGCUCUGCUGGCGUAAAUAUGCAUCUAUUUGUUUCCUUGCAUUGUCUUGUAUUUGCUCCACGCUUUUGUUUUUGUUGUGAACGCGCCAUUGGCAGCUAUAUGAACUAGCCUGUUCUCGUUAUGUGAUAAAAACAGCGUUGAUGUCAGUUUCACACUUCUCUAUGUUAUGCUCGGUUCUUGUCAUCUAACGCUAUACCCUAUGAAUAUGCAUUUCCAUAUGCCCUCUAUCUUCCUUUCUUUAAUAUUUUUAGCCUAGAAGGGGAAAAAAAAGC